UGCCAGCCGCCGCGGUAAUACGAAGGUGGCGAGCGUUGUUCGGAUUUACUGGGCAUAAAGGGCGUGUAGGCGGCCUGAUAAGCGGAGUGUGAAAGCCCGGGGCUCAACCCCGGAACUGCAUUCCGAACUGUCGGGCUAGAGGACAGGAGGGGGGUCUGGAACUCUAGGUGGAGCGGUGAAAUGCGUAGAUAUCUAGAGGAACGCCGGUGGCGAAAGCGAGGCCCUGGCCUGUCCCUGACGCUGAGGCGCGAAAGCGUGGGUAGCAAACAGGAUUAGAUA
rnacentral:rRNA from 1 species